UACGGAGGGCGCAAGCGUUAUUCGGAAUCAUUGGGCGUAAAGCGCGUGUAGGCGGUUUGGUAAGUCAGACGUGAAAGCUCCGGGCUUAACCCGGAAAGUGCGUUUGAUACUGCCAGACUUGAGUUCGGGAGAGGAAAGUGGAAUUCCCAGUGUAGAGGUGAAAUUCGUAGAUAUUGGGAGGAACACCGGUGGCGAAGGCGACUUUCUGGACCGAUACUGACGCUGAGACGCGAAAGCGUGGGGAGCAAACAGG
rnacentral:rRNA from 1 species